GGACGGUGGCCAUGGACCUGCAGAGUGCCGAGUGCCGGCCCGCACAGGGCGGCUGCGGCGCGAAGCUGACGCUGCCAGCAGAGAACGGCUCGGGCAGCCGGCGCCCCAGCAUCGCCCCCGUCCUGGAGCUGGCGGAUAGCUCAGCCCUGCUGCCCUGCGACCUGCUGAGCGACCAGUCGGAGGACGAGGCGAUGCCCUCCGAGGAUGAGGGCCUCUCCGCGGUCGAGUACGUGAAGGGUUACCCACCCAACUCGCCAUACAUCGGCAGCUCCCCCACCCUGUGCCACCUUCUGCCCGUGAAGGCCCCGUUCUGCUGCCUGCGCCUGGACAAGGGCUGCAAGCACAACAGCUAUGAGGACGCCAAGGCGUACGGGUUCAAGAACAAGCUCAUCAUCGUCUCAGCGGAGACGGCUGGCAAUGGGCUGUACAACUUCAUGCCGUGCCACUGCGGGCCUACUACCGGCCGCGCAGGGAGCUCAACCCCAUCGUGCUGCUGCUGGACAACAGGCCUGACCACCACUUCCUGGAAGCCAUCUGCUGCUUCCCCAUGGUCUACUACAUGGAGGGCUCUGUGGACAACCUGGACAGCCUGCUGCAGUGCGGCAUCAUCUACGCCGACAACCUGGUGGUGGUGGACAAGGAGAGCACCAUGAGUGCUGAGGAGGACUACAUGGCUGACGCUAAGACCAUCGUUAACGUGCAGACCAUGUUCCGGUGCGGGCCGGUGGGGGGGGCGUGGGGCGGGGCCACACGUGACAGGAUACACCCCCCCCAAGACCCACGUGGCCACAGCCCCGAGGCCCACACGUGACCACGGGACCCACCCCGAGGCCCACACUGACUAUGGAACCCAGCCCGAGACCUACACAUGACCACGGGGCCGCCCCAAGACCCACAUGUGACCAUGGGACCUGCCCCAAGGAACGUACAUGACUAUGGGACCCAGCCCGAGGCCCACACGUGACCACGGCCCUGCUGAGAACCACACGUGACCACAGGACCCGCCCCGAGGCCCACAUGGGACCCAGCCCUAGGCCCACACGUGACCACGGCCCUGCUGAGAACCACACGUGACCAUGGGACCUGCCCCAAGACCCACACGUGACUAUGAGACCCAGCCCGAGACCUACACAUGACCCUGCGACCAACCCCCGAGGCCCACAUGUGACCACGGGCCCUGCUGAGACCCACACGUGACCACAGGACCCGCCCCGAGGCCCACAUGGGACCCAGCCCUAGGCCCACACGUGACCACACUCACCCUCACGGCCUGACUCCUCCAGGCUGUUCCCCAGCCUCAGCAUCACCACGGAGCUCACGCACCCCUCCAACAUGCGCUUCAUGCAGUUCCGCGCCAAGGACAGCUACUCUCUGGCCCUCUCCAAGCUGGAAAAGGUGAGCAGAGCCAGAGAGCAGAGGAUGGCAGGGGCCGCGGCCAUGGAGGUUCCGGCAUGGGCACAGGUGGCUGCCUCCCUGAGCUCGUGGGUGCCCUGGCCACAGGAGGACCCACUGCUCACCUCUGGGGGCCGAGCCCAGGUACCCUGCUGCUCCUCGGUCAGCACGGAGCCCCCCAGGGGAGCCAUUAGAUUCCCAGAGCUCUGGGCACCCAGCAGGUCCUCUGGCCUCUGCCGACUGCCCUGGGAAGGGCGGGACGGGGACACAGCAGGAGCUGGCCCUGCUCACCCUGAGGUCAGCGUGCGGAGGCGGCACCAGCUCCCUUUCUGUACCUGGGAGCUCUGUGGAGGGCACCAGCGGGGCUCUGGUGUGAACAGGGCCACCAGGGUUGGGGUCACUGCAGACAUGGCCCACCAGGAGCUCGGGCCCCUCUAGCACACGCGGUUCCUGUUGGGUCUCCCUGGUGCCCCCUGCCCAGGCCAGUGGCAGUGCCACCUGCCCACCAGGGACUAGCGAGCCUGAGGGCAGUGGAGACCCAGGACUGGGCAAGUUGCCAUGAGAGACUGCGGCCCCCCGCCAGAGCCACCGAUGCACACUGCUCCUCAUGAGCCUGCGGUUGCCAGGCUAGGCACAGUCCGGGGUGGCACUGUGCCUGUGGACUGGCUGGGAGGACCCGCCAGCACCGCCCACCUGAGCUGGGACUGGCUCUGUGUGGACAGAAGGGCCAGACACGAGCCCAGGACAUGGCCUUGUCCAGCCAGAAGCUGCACAGACGGCAGAGUCAGGCUCCAUUCGGCUGGGACCCUGGGUUCUGGCUGCGCUCAGGUGGAUGGACAUGGGUGGCUCCCGCCUGCCCGGCCCAGGCCCUGCCCACGUGGGAACCCUGCCCCUCCGGGAGCUGGACACAGACUUCACAUCCCAGAAGGAGGUCACACGGGGCAGCUUCGCCUCUUCAGCCACCUGGGUCGUGUUGGGGCUGAGGAGGGUGCUUGGUAUCUGGAGACCAAGCUGGGCGCAGGGCAGCAGUCAGUGCCGGCUCCCCGGGAACGAGCCCGGCCGCCCACGCAGCCUGGAAGGGGAGGUUGGCAGACAGCCUGGCACCAGCCUGUUCCACAGACAUCACCUGCUGUCACCACUUUCCACCUGAGCCCCUUCCCCUGGGUGCUGCCUGCCUGCUCCUCCACCUCCACAGGGCCCAUGGGGGGCUCUGUGAUGCUAGGGGACCAGCUGGGGUGCCGGGUCAUCAUUGUGGGCAACCUCAGGCUGCCAAGCCUCAGGAAGUGGCCUGGGGUGGGGUGGCAGGGUCCAUGGUCACACUGUGCCUGUGGGCACCAGGCCUGCAGAAGGCACGGGGCCCUCGACUUCUGGGCUUGGAGUCCCCAGGCCCCCCGGGCUCCCAGACAGGGCAGACAGAACUCCCGGCAGCAUGAGAGCCUCUUAAAAGCCUCUUAAAAUGUGGGACGGUUUAGUUGAAUAAAAAAGCACAUUUAUGGCAAUGCAUACCCCAUGGCAAGUAAUACUGAAAGCUAAAGAAAGUUUGAAACAAGAUGUCGCCCUAAACCCCUGUGGCUGCGUUUGAGCAGGGGAUGUGUGGAAGCGGGUUCUCCAGGAGCAAGAGCGGGAGGUUGAUGCCACCACCCAUUCGGACUCCAUGCGGCGCCCUGGGUUACCUCGAAGCUAACGUGGAGGGCAGAACGGAGACGUUCGCAGCACUGCUGAGUGUGCCUUGGCGAGCAUGAACGGACGUGCACGGACGGCUGGACGCCACGGAGCUGGCCGGGCAGGCGAGCGCCCACUCCGGAGCGGCCCUGCCCCACGCCGCAUGCGGCCCAGUGCCCAGCGGCCUGGGGUCAGUCUGUGUCCCUGUCCCCAGUUGCUCACACUGCAGCCGCACCCCGAGGGACUCCGUGCUGGAGACAGGAGCAGCUGUGGCAGAGUAGGAGUGGCUCUGUGAGGGCGUGGGCUCUCCGGCUCCGGGUCUCUGCAGACCUGCUGGGUCAGCGCCCUGUCUCUUCACGGGAAAGGGCAGGGUUUCUCUGUUCUGCUUCGUCACUGGCGGUGCCACUCCAGGGUCCCCAUGAGCGCCUGGUCACCGUGCCCUGCUCUGCGCAGUGAUGCCCGCACACCUGUGCCAGCCUGAUGCCACCAGCGGGCGGAAGGUCUCACCGGGUGCCUGGCGGUGCCCUGGAAGCCACUGCUGCCUCAGGUGCUUGAAGCCACGCCUCAGCUAACCUGAGCCCCGUGGGUGCAGCCAGAUGAAGAAUGGCCCGGAAGCUGUCCUGUGCCAGUCCAGGGGCCACGGCAGAGGGACUGUGCAUGGGAAAGGACCCAGGCUGGCCACGUGGGCCACGUCAACAUGGCUCUUGGAGGAGGAGGCAGGGUCGGGGAAAGGGCUGCCCCAUGGCUUGGAGGACAGGGGAAGAGACCCCAGCCGCAGGCCUUAGAGCGCCCAGGAAGUGGCCAUGGAGCUGCCCGCACCUGCAGGGGCUCAAGGCCCCUGGACUUCAGCCUGGACAAAACAUGUUGUCUUUUUUUUUUUGGUACCGGGGAUCGAACUUGGGACCUUGCGCUUGUGAGGCAGGCACUGGAACCACUGAGCUAAAUCCCCCAGCCCUGGGCGUGUUGUUUUAAGCGCUAAGGCUGUGGCAUCUUCUUGGCAGCCCCAGGAACCUCGCCCAGCGGGUCCACCAGUGCCAGGAGGGGAGGCGUGGGUGCCAGGCUCACUGCCCCACCCUGCCCACGCCCAGCAUUCUCAGUGUGCUCACAAAGUGCGGGCCAAGAUGGGACUUCGGGGUUGAGAAUCGGGCUGGGUCCAGCCUCCCCUGCCCCCAGGCAGCCAUCCUCGGGACACCAAGUGCCCGGGGGCGUGGGCACAGGGGCGGGGAGUGUGCGGGCUUGCAGCGCGCCAGUGCACGUGCGUGUGCGUGCUCAGGUCCAUGCGGUGGCCACGGAGUCUGAGGACCCCCUCUCCCACAGCGGGAGCGUGAGAACGGCUCCAACCUGGCUUUCAUGUUCCGCCUGCCGUUUGCCGCGGGCCGUGUGUUCAGCAUCAGCAUGCUGGACACGCUGCUCUACCAGGUCAGUUGGGUGCAGGGCGGUAGGGCCCUCGGAGCCCCUCCUGGGGCUGCUCCUCCCCCACUGCCCUGGGUCCAGGCUGGGCUUUGGGUUCUGGUCCUGUUUUCACCUGACGCGCUCAGCUGCCAUCUUGCUGGCCGCGGGGCUGCCCAGGAGUCUCCCAGGGGUCUGGGCCGCCUGCGCUGCCUGGGCGGGCACGAGGCAGGCAGUCAUCGGCGCUGCCUGCCCUGCAGUCCUUCGUGAAGGACUACAUGAUCACCAUCACACGCCUGCUGCUGGGCCUCGACACCACACCCGGCUCCGGCUACCUCUGUGCCGUCAGCGAGGAUGACCUGUGGAUCCGCACCUACGGACGCCUCUUCCAGAAGCUGUGCUCCUCCAGUGCCGAGAUCCCCAUCGGCAUCUACAGGACCGAGAGUGCCACGUCUUCUCCUCCGAGCCCCAGGAUCUCAGAGCCCAGGUGAGCACCCCAUUCUGCCCUCCGCCUCCCGAGGGAACCCCACCCUAAGAGCCCCCUCAGGCCUGGAGAACCCAAUGGGCAGCUGUGGCUGCAGGGUGCCCUGGGCAUGAGACAGCUCGGGGCUCAGGGCCUUUGGCUGUUUCCCUCCUCCUGUACUGGUGGGGAACUGAGGCUGGGGUUUCAGUAGGUGCACCUGGCUGCCCCUGCCCAGGCCCCAGCCCCUAGGCCACCAGCAUGUGUCCCCAUGGUCUGGCCCGGCUCCUCACCUCCAGCAGCUCUGGGCUCUCUGAGGGGCUGCCCAGCGGGGUCCCCAUGUCUCCCCCAGCACCUGUGUGCCCACUGAGCCACACACAGUGCCCUAAAGAUGUGACUGCAAAUGGGGAGGCUGAGGCACGGGGGCCACUGUCCUGGAGAAAGCCAGACCACAGAGAUGCAAGCUCACUGAGGCUGGGGCCACAGGGGCAGGCUGGGACCCCAUCCCUGGACAGGUCUGAGGCAGGGAGGCCUGGGCUCAGGAGGGGACCCUAGGCCCUGCACCCAUCCCGGCUGGAGCAGGAAGGAGCCCCAGCCUGGCCCAGCCUCCCUG
rnacentral:lncRNA from 1 species